AUGGCUCAGGAUGAACGCUAGCGACAGGCUUAACACAUGCAAGUCGAGGGGCAGCAUAAAAGUAGCAAUACUUGGUGGCGACCGGCGCACGGGUGAGUAACGCGUAUGCAACCUACCUAUCAGAGGGGAAUAACCCGGCGAAAGUCGGACUAAUACCGCAUAAAACAGGGGCACCGCAUGGUGAUAUUUGUUAAGAAAUUCGCUGAUAGAUGGGCAUGCGUUCCAUUAGGGUAGUUGGUGAGGUAACGGCUCACCAAGCCGACGAUGGAUAGGGGAACUGAGAGGUUGGUCCCCCACACUGGUACUGAGACACGGACCAGACUCCUACGGGAGGCAGCAGUGAGGAAUAUUGGUCAAUGGGCGGGAGCCUGAACCAGCCAAGUCGCCGUGAAGGAAGAAGGAUCUAUGGUUCGUAAACUUCUUUUGCAGGGGAAUAAAGUGCAGGACGUGUCCUGUUUUGUAUGUACCCUGAGAAUAAGGAUCGGCUAACUCCGUGCCAGCCGCCGC
rnacentral:rRNA from 1 species